rnacentral:lncRNA from 1 species
AUCGACAUCAAGCCGGAUGUUCCACAUUUUAGCCCAGUGUCCAGAGCUAGAACAUUGGGCGUGAUUUUGACGGACCUGAAUACAAAGGAGCCACCGCCAACAGCAGGACAGAUGUCCGGAGUUAUGCUGUGUUAAUUUGCACAUUUUCUGGGAUUAAGUUCAAUAUGCCAUUUUAAGGCCAAUUCUCUGGCGGGAAUCAUGC